GUCUUUUUGAUAAUAAUUUAAAGUUUGACCUGCUCAAUGAAGAUUAAAUAGCUGCAGUAUUUUGACUGUACAAAGGUAGCAUAAUAAAUAGUUUCUUAAUUAGAAGCUGGUAUGAAUGGUUGGACGAGAUAAUUUCUGUCUCUUUAAAAAUUUUUUUGAAUUUUAUUUUUAAGUUAAAAAGCUUAAAUUUUUUUUAUAGACGAGAAGACCCUAUAGAGUUUUAUUAAAUUUGGAAUUUGUAUUAUUAGGAAAGUUUAUUUUUUUAAAUUUUAAAUUUAAUUUUAUUGGGGUGAUGUAAAAAUUUAAUAAACUUUUUAAUUUUUAUUUCAUUUAUUUAUGUUUGUUUGAUCCAAUAUUUUUGAUUAUUAGAGUAAAUUACCUUAGGGAUAACAGCGUAAUUUUUUUAGAGAGUUCUAAUCGAUAAAAAAGUUUGCGACCUCGAUGUUGGAUUAAAAUUAAAAUUUGGUGUAGAAGCUAAAUAAUUUAGGUCUGUUCGACCUUUAAAAUUUU
rnacentral:rRNA from 1 species